rnacentral:rRNA from 1 species
AGCGAACGCUGGCGGCAGGCCUAAUACAUGCAAGUCGAGCGCACCUUCGGGUGAGUGGCGGACGGGUGAGUAACGCGUGGGAACGUGCCCUUUGGUACGGGAUAACUGAGGGAAACUUCAGCUAAUACCGUAUGUGCCCUACGGGGGAAAGAUUUAUCGCCAUUGGAGCGGCCCGCGUUGGAUUAGGUAGUUGGUGGGGUAAAGGCCCACCAAGCCGACGAUCCAUAGCUGGUCUGAGAGGAUGAUCAGCCACACUGGGACUGAGACACGGCCCAGACUCCUACGGGAGGCAGCAGUAGGGAAUCUUGCGCAAUGGGCGAAAGCCUGACGCAGCCAUGCCGCGUGAAUGAUGAAGGUCUUAGGAUUGUAAAAUUCUUUCACCGGGGAAGAUAAUGACGGUACCCGGAGAAGAAGCCCCGGCUAACUUCGUGCCAGCAGCCGCGGUAAUACGAAGGGGGCUAGCGUUGCUCGGAAUUACUGGGCGUAAAGGGCGCGUAGGCGGAUGUUUAAGUCGGGGGUGAAAGCCCGGGGCUCAACCUCGGAAUUGCCUUCGAUACUGGACAUCUUGAGUACGGGAGAGGUGAGUGGAACUCCGAGUGUAGAGGUGAAAUUCGUAGAUAUUCGGAAGAACACCAGUGGCGAAGGCGACUCACUGGCCCGUUACUGACGCUGAGGCGCGAAAGCGUGGGGAGCAAACAGGAU